GAUGAACGCUGGCGGCGUGCCUAAUACAUGCAAGUCGAGCGAACAGAUGAGGAGCUUGCUCCUCUGACGUUAGCGGCGGACGGGUGAGUAACACGUGGAUAACCUACCUAUUAUACUGGGAUAACUUCGGGAAACCGGAGCUAAUACCGGAUAAUAUAUUGAACCGCAUGGUUCAAUAGUGAAUGACGGUUUUGCUGUCACUUAUAGAUGGUUCCGUGCUGCAUUAGCUAGUUGGUAAGGUAACGGCUUACCAAGGCGACGAUGCGUAGCCGACCUGAGAGGGUGAUCGGCCACACUGGAACUGAGACACGGUCCAGACUCCUACGGGAGGCAGCAGUAGGGAAUCUUGCGCAAUGGGCGAAAGCCUGACGGAGCAACGCCGCGUGAGUGAUGAAGGUCUUCGGAUCGUAAAACUCUGUUAUUAGGGAAGAAAAAAUGUGUAAGUAACUAUGCACGUCUUGACGGUACCUAAUCAGAAAGCCACGGCUAACUACGUG
rnacentral:rRNA from 1 species